rnacentral:rRNA from 1 species
GGACGAACGCUGGCGGCGUGCUUAACACAUGCAAGUCGAACGGAAAGGCCCUGCUUGCAGGGUACUCGAGUGGCGAACGGGUGAGUAACACGUGGGUGAUCUGCCCUGCACUUCGGGAUAAGCCUGGGAAACUGGGUCUAAUACCGGAUAGGACCAUCGUUUAGUGUCGGUGGUGGAAAGUUUUUCGGUGCAGGAUGAGCUCGCGGCCUAUCAGCUUGUUGGUGGGGUAAUGGCCUACCAAGGCGUCGACGGGUAGCCGGCCUGAGAGGGUGGACGGCCACAUUGGGACUGAGACACGGCCCAGACUCCUACGGGAGGCAGCAGUGGGGAAUAUUGCACAAUGGGCGCAAGCCUGAUGCAGCGACGCCGCGUGGGGGAUGAAGGCCUUCGGGUUGUAAACUCCUUUCAACCAUGACGAAGCAUUAUGUGACGGUAGUGGUAGAAGAAGCACCGGCUAACUACGUGCCAGCAGCCGCGGUAAUACGUAGGGUGCGAGCGUUGUCCGGAAUUACUGGGCGUAAAGAGCUCGUAGGUGGUUUGUCGCGUCGUCUGUGAAAUUCCGGGGCUUAACUCCGGGCGUGCAGGCGAUACGGGCAUAACUUGAGUGCUGUAGGGGAGACUGGAAUUCCUGGUGUAGCGGUGAAAUGCGCAGAUAUCAGGAGGAACACCGAUGGCGAA